AUUGAAUGUAAAUACAGGAACCUGAUCAAGGAGGACUGUAAUCUAUUAGGGAAAGGAAGUGCUUUUGAUUCCUGCUAAUUUAAAAGUGAAGCUCGGGAGACCAAUUCCCACCAGCUGUCAUCACUUAUAAAAUGAGAGAGUUACCCCUUUUUUCUCCUUGUUUUUGCUCCCUACAAAUUUUAAGAAUUGAGCAGUUGAGAGGUUUGAAGACUUCCACUCCUCCACAGCGAUCUACGUGAAAACCAACAUGUCCCAGUCCAGUGUCAACAGGAUGACAGGGAUUUUGCUGCCCAUUGACUUUGGUGGAUUCCCUGAAUCACCUUCCCGCUUUUCCUGAGUACUUGGAUCCAAGGAGCAGGCUGACCACGAGGAGCACUCAUGCCAAGGCAGAUGCGUGGUGCUGCUGAUCGUGCCAGGAGCUGUUUGUUAAUUGAUGGCAACCAAUUACUAUACCAGGGGAGCCCGGAGUUAAUAUUUUUGGUUUCAAAGCUUCACUUUAUUUGAGACUCUAUAAAUACAUUCUCAUGAAGUAUUUAUACACCCUAACCCAGCUCAGAGGAAGAAACAGAAGUAAUGGAUGAUUUCAAAUGGCAACGAGGCUGAAUGCUGGCACAACAGAUAGUACCGUGUGAUCCUGAUGAGCUACCUGAUAGACAAGACAAAGUAAAAACAACCUUGAUUUCUGCAUGCGUGUUAUUUCAGGCCUUCUGAGCAAGCAGUGGCUGAACUAAAACUGCAUUUCACAGGUAAUUCUUAUCAGUUUAUUUACCGUAACUUAAGUCUUGUGAUGUUCACAUUUUUUGAAAUGAAAGUCAACGUGAAGUUUGUCUGAUCACCCUGAAGUCAUUUUAUGUAUUGAAAUAUCUAGUUCAGGGUUCAUUCAACUCCAUGCAUGCAUCAGUGCUCGACUUAACCAGGAAGAUAAAGCACUUGCACUGUUUUUCAAGGCUGUAUGUUAGAGCUUCUGGGUACUUCAUUCCUUGGGUGAGGGCAAAAAGACAAUGGUAGAUUUGAGCUUCACCAUAGACAAUCCAUCAGUGUACAGUUCUGUUGGAUGUUAUGCCUCUGAGCAGAUACAAACACAGACCUCUGGCUACAUGAUUUUCUGCAAGAGUUUGCAGUUCUGGUAAUCAAAAUCAUUUCCUAUUUAUAUAGGAAAUAUAUAAAGUGUAGCACCCAGUUCACUAUAAUGAAGAGUUGAGUCUUCUCUAUCUGUUAGAAACUCAGACCUUGAGAAUGAGCAAAUGUUUUGGACCAUGUCUGCAGCCCAGUAAGCAAUUAUUUAAUCACAGCAGUAUAGCUGAGCAUUGCAGUCUUCUGUGCUCCUAAUGUGCAAAGUGUAAUACUUAGUAAGGAGACAAUAACUAGAUAAACAUAUAAAUGAUACAGCAUAAUGCCUUUCCGUCCUGAAUCAUCACAAGGCUCAAUAUUCUAUAGAUCAUGUAAUAAUUUCAUUCAGGAGCAUAAUAAAAGUCAAAUUGGUUUCUGAGAGACAGUUAUAUAUGGUAAUCUGUUUUACUGCCCUCUCCUACUGACCAUAUUUGCAUUGUAAUAUUAGUUUUGCUGGUGGGAUUCUGCUAUUGGUGCUCUUGUGGACGUAGAUAUGUAUAUAUAGUUUAUAUUUACUGAACCAUUAUGGAAAGUGAGUUGUAAAGUUCUAAGAUAAAAGGAUUUAUAAUUAUUUAAAGUAUGGUGCACUGGUAAUGGCUAUAAAUUCAGAUGUAGCACACUUUUCUCCUCGUUAAAGAAGAUUUCAAUGGUUAUAUUUUCAAAAUAUCCUCAAAAGAUUUUAACUUUCUGGACCUCAUUAAGUCAAUACCACAUUCCUAAUAGCAAAAAAGAGGCAGGUUUUAUUGUAAAGAUGCAGAAGUGGGCCUCUAGGGCAACAGUUUCCUGUAGUCUUGGGCAUAUGACUCUGACUCGUCACAAACAUACCUUUGAAAUAGGGUCAGUAAAAUGUCCUUUUGUCUCGCUUGUUCUGGUUGUAAAUUAUUUGGGGGCAGAAUCUAUGUUCUAAAAUAUUAAAUGCACAAAACCCAUUCUAAUGAUUUAUGCUGGAGUCAUUAAGUGCUACUGAAAUAGUAUUGUUUAGCUUAAAAAGCAAUAAUUAAACCGUUUUAUAAACCAAAGUUUGAUUUGCAAAUAUAAGUCUAUUUUGAUAAACAUUUCAUUAAGUCCUUACAAUUUUCU